UUGCUAGAACUUAGAGACAGGUGCUGCACGGCUGUCGUCAGCUCGUGUCGUGAGAUGUUGGGUUAAGUCCCGCAACGAGCGCAACCCACGUAUUUAGUUGCUAACGGUUCGGCCGAGCACUCUAAAUAGACUGCCUUCGUAAGGAGGAGGAAGGUGUGGACGACGUCAAGUCAUCAUGGCCCUUAUGCCCAGGGCGACACACGUGCUACAAUGGCAUAUACAAUGAGACGCAAUACCGCGAGGUGGAGCAAAUCUAUAAAAUAUGUCCCAGUUCGGAUUGUUCUCUGCAACUCGAGAGCAUGAAGCCGGAAUCGCUAGUAAUCGUAGAUCAGCCAUGCUACGGUGAAUACGUUCCCGGGUCUUGUACUCACCGCCCGUCACACCAUGGGAGUUG
rnacentral:rRNA from 1 species